GAUGAAGAACGCAGUGAAAUGCGAUAAGUAGUGUGAAUUGCAGAAUUCAGUGAAUCAUCGAAUCUUUGAACGCACAUUGCGCCCGCCAGUAUUCUGGCGAGCAUGCCUGUUCGAGCGUCAUUUCAACCAUCAAGCCCCAGGCUUGUGUUGGAGCCCUGCGGCUGCCGCAGCCUCCCAAAACCAGUGGCGGGCUCGCUAUCACACCGAGUGCAGUAGUUUACUCUUCGCUCAGGGCGUGUGGCGGGUGCUAGCCGUGAAACCCCCAACUUCUCAAGGUUGACCUCGGAUCAGGUAGGAAUACCCGCUGAACUUAAGCAUAUCAAUAAGCGGAGGA
rnacentral:misc_RNA from 1 species